UACGAGAGGUGCAAGCGUUAUUCGGAAUCAUUGGGCGUAAAGGGCGCGUAGACGGCAUGUUAAGUCUGUUGUUAAAUCCUUCGGCUUAACCGAAGAUAUGCAGUGGAAACUGGCAAGCUAGAGUAUGGAAGAGAGAAGUGGAAUUCUUGGAGUAGCGGUAAAAUGCGUAGAUCUCAAGAGGAACACCAAUGGCGAAGGCAGCUUCUUGGUCCAUUACUGACGUUGAGGCGCGAAAGCGUGGGGAGCAAACAGG
rnacentral:rRNA from 1 species